UCUGGCUCAGGAUGAACGCUAGCGGCAGGCUUAACACAUGCAAGUCGAGGGGUAGAGUUUCUUCGGAACUUGAGACCGGCGCACGGGUGCGUAACGCGUAUGCAAUCUACCUUAUACAGGGGAAUAGCCCAGAGAAAUUUGGAUUAAUGCCCCAUAGUAUUAUUGAAUCGCAUGGUUUAAUAAUUAAAGUUCCAACGGUAUAAGAUGAGCAUGCGUCCCAUUAGUUAGUUGGUAAGGUAACGGCUUACCAAGACAAUGAUGGGUAGGGGUCCUGAGAGGGAGAUCCCCCACACUGGUACUGAGACACGGACCAGACUCCUACGGGAGGCAGCAGUGAGGAAUAUUGGUCAAUGGGCGCAAGCCUGAACCAGCCAUGCCGCGUGCAGGAAGAAGCAUCUAUGGUGUGUAAACUGCUUUUAUACAGGAAGAAACAACGCUACGUGUAGCGUCUUGACGGUACUGUAAGAAUAAGGACCGGCUAAUCCG
rnacentral:rRNA from 1 species